CCUACGGGUGGCAGCAGUAGGGAAUAUUGCUCAAUGGGGGAAACUCUGAAGCAGCAACGCCGCGUGGAGGAUGAAGGUUUUAGGAUUGUAAACUUCUUUUGGGAGGGAAGUUAAUGACGGUAUCUGACGAAUAAGCACCGGCUAACUCCGUGCCAGCAGCCGCGGUAAUACGGAGGGUGCAAGCGUUACUCGGAAUCACUGGGCUUAAAGAGUGCGCAGGCGGGCUUGUAAGUCAGAUGUGAAAUCCUGUAGCUUAACUACAGAACUGCAUUUGAAACUAUGAGGCUAGAGUGUAGUAGCGGUAGGUGGAAUUCUUGGUGUAGCGGUAAAAGCCGUAGAUAUCAAGAGGAAUACUCAUUGCGAAGGCGACCUACUGGAACAUUACUGACGCUCAUGCACGAAAGCGUGGGGAGCAAACAGGAUUAGAUACCCUUGUAGUC
rnacentral:rRNA from 1 species